rnacentral:rRNA from 1 species
AUUGAACGCUGGCGGCAGGCCUAACACAUGCAAGUCGAACGGUAGCACAGAGAGCUUGCUCUCGGGUGACGAGUGGCGGACGGGUGAGUAAUGUCUGGGAAACUGCCCGAUGGAGGGGGAUAACUACUGGAAACGGUAGCUAAUACCGCAUAACGUCGCAAGACCAAAGUGGGGGACCUUCGGGCCUCACACCAUCGGAUGUGCCCAGAUGGGAUUAGCUAGUAGGUGGGGUAAUGGCUCACCUAGGCGACGAUCCCUAGCUGGUCUGAGAGGAUGACCAGCCACACUGGAACUGAGACACGGGCCAGACUCCUACGGGAGGCAGCAGUGGGGAAUAUUGCACAAUGGGCGCAAGCCUGAUGCAGCCAUGCCGCGUGUAUGAAGAAGGCCUUCGGGUUGUAAAGUACUUUCAGCGGGGAGGAAGGCGGUGGAGUUAAUAACUUCACCGAUUGACGUUACCCGCAGAAGAAGCACCGGCUAACCCCGUGCCAGCCGCCGCAGUAA